AGAGGGGGAGAGAGAAAAAACCUUCUAAUUUAAUAUUUGUGCACCAAGGUCAGGAUCUUCUUGAGAGACACUCAAGAAAUAUCUACUCAACCAUGUAUUUUAUAUUUAUCUUUCCAAGCAGAUUAGAAGCUUCCUGGUAUUCAUCUAUUUUCUAUGCUAAUGAACUCCCUUUAACAUUAGCUGCACCAUCCACACAUUUAAUAUCAAAAGUCAUUAAAACCUAGUCUGGCAUAUUUGGCUCGUAAUCCUAGCUAAGUCAGAAAAACCACAAAUUCAAAACCUACCAGGCUAUGUAAACAGUUAAAGCAGUCUAUGGGUAAGAGCGCUGACUGCUCUCCUGAAGGUCCUGAGUUCAAAUUCCAGCAACCACAUGGUGGCUCACAACCAUCCUUAACAAGAACUGACGCCCUCUUCUGGAGUAUAUGAAGACAGCUACAGUGUACUUAUACAUAAUAAAUAAAUAAAUCUUUUUUUAAAAAAAAUUCAGUUCCCAACAACCACAUGAUGGCUCACAACCGUACAGCUACAGUGUACUCGUAUACAUAAAUCUUUAAAAAGUAACAAUUUAUUUUUCUCAUUUGCUAGUAAAUAUGUACUUUAAAUAUUUUUUACUGAGCACGGUUUUAAUAAAAUUACAUUAUUUGUGUGUAUGCAAAUGUGUGUGGCACACAUGCUACAGCAGUUGUGAAGGUUAAAGGACAACUUGUAAGAGUUGUUUUUCCUUCUACUCUGAGUCCUGGGAUGGAACUUGAAUCAUGAAGCUUGGUGGCCAAAGCUUUUACUCAAAGAGCCAUCUCAGACAAAGCCUAUGUUUUCAGCUUGACUGAGCUGACUCCUAUCACACAAUCUACCCACGGUAGUAUACAAUUCACUGGUUCUUAGUACAGUUUAGAAAACAUGCAACUGUCACAACUUUAACACAUUUACUUAUCUCAAAAAGAAACAAUAAACAUGUGCUUGUCACUUCAUACCCCACAACACCUGGAAGUCCUAAGAAAUCACAACUCUUGCUAUCCCUAUAAAAUUGUCUGUUCUGGAUACUAUUUAGAAACAGAAUCACAAAUACAAACUUUUAUAUCUGCAUUUUUAAACCCUAC
rnacentral:lncRNA from 1 species